rnacentral:lncRNA from 1 species
AGCCUUGGGCAAAGCUUGGGUCCUGUCUCAGACACUAAGCCAUGGGCAAUGCUAAGAGUCAUGCAUAGUAGCAGAUUUAAAUUAAAACAUGUGUUUUUCAAAUUUGUAAAAAAGAUAUCAUUCAAAGACAAGAUCUGGGGAUAAAAAUCAAGGGAAAAAUAUUCUAGAAGGCUUGGGAUAAGCCAAAAAUCAAUUAAAAAGAUCUUAAUCAACAAAAAAAGAAAACUUUAACUCCUGUUC